rnacentral:rRNA from 1 species
AGUGAACGCUGGCGGUAGGCCUAACACAUGCAAGUCGAACGGCAGCACAGUAAGAGCUUGCUCUUACGGGUGGCGAGUGGCGGACGGGUGAGGAAUACAUCGGAAUCUACUUUUUCGUGGGGGAUAACGUAGGGAAACUUACGCUAAUACCGCAUACGACCUACGGGUGAAAGCAGGGGAUCUUCGGACCUUGCGCGAUUGAAUGAGCCGAUGUCGGAUUAGCUAGUUGGCGGGGUAAAGGCCCACCAAGGCGACGAUCCGUAGCUGGUCUGAGAGGAUGAUCAGCCACACUGGAACUGAGACACGGUCCAGACUCCUACGGGAGGCAGCAGUGGGGAAUAUUGGACAAUGGGCGCAAGCCUGAUCCAGCCAUACCGCGUGGGUGAAGAAGGCCUUCGGGUUGUAAGGCCCUUUUGUUGGGAAAGAAAAGCAGCAGGUUAAUACCCCGCUGUUCUGACGGUACCCAAAGAAUAAGCACCGGCUAACUUCG